rnacentral:rRNA from 1 species
GAUGAACGCUGGCGGCGUGCCUAAUACAUGCAAGUCGAGCGAAUGGAUUAAGAGCUUGCUCUUAUGAAGUUAGCGGCGGACGGGUGAGUAACACGUGGGUAACCUGCCCAUAAGACUGGGAUAACUCCGGGAAACCGGGGCUAAUACCGGAUAACAUUUUGAACCGCAUGGUUCGAAAUUGAAAGGCGGCUUCGGCUGUCACUUAUGGAUGGACCCGCGCCCCAUUAGCUAGUUGGUGAGGUAACGGCUCACCAAGGCGACGAUGGGUAGCCGGCCUGAGAGGGCGAUCGGCCACACUGGAACUGCGACACGGUCCAGACUCCUACGGGAGGCAGCAGUGAGGAAUCUUGCGCAAUGGGCGAAAGCCUGACGCAGCGACGCCGCGUGGAGGAUGAAGGUCUUCGGAUUGUAAACUCCUGUCGAGUGGGACGAAUGCCGUGAGGGUGAACAAUCCUUGCGGUUGACGGUACCGCUGGAGGAAGCCCCGGCUAACUCCGUGCCAGCCGCCGCAGUAA